GCCACGGGCCGUGACUGGCGCGCUGGGUCUCCCACCAGGGGAUCCGAAGAUGGACGACCAUCGGGGAGCGGCCCGCAGUACUUACUGAGAACGUGUGCCGUGCGCCUGGGCCGAACCG
rnacentral:ncRNA from 2 species